rnacentral:rRNA from 1 species
CUAAGAAUAUUCCGCAAUGGACGAAAGUCUGACGGAGCGACGCCGCGNUGGAUGAUGAAGGCCGAAAGGUUGUAAAAUCCUUUUGCUACUGAAGAAUAAGUGCUGUAGGAAAUGACAGUAUGAUGACGUUAGGUAGUGAAUAAGCCCCGGCUAAUUACGUGCCAGCAGCCGCGGUAACACGUAAGGGGCGGGCGUUGUUCGGAAUUAUUGGGCGUAAAGGGUGCGUAGGCGGGAUGUCUAGUCAGUCGUGAAAUUUUAAGGCUUAACCUUGAGCUUGCGGUUGAAACUGACAUUCUUGAGUAUGGACAAGGUGGGCGGAAUUCGUGGUGUAGCGGUGAAAUGCUUAGAUAUCACGAAGAACUCCGAUUGCGUAGGCAGCUCACCGGGGCAUAACUGACGCUGAUGCACGAAAGUUCGGUUAUCAAACAGGAUUAGAUACCCUGGUAGUCCGUACUGUAAACGAUGAAUACUCGCCGUCUGCGAUACACAGUAGGCGGUCAAGCGAAAGCAUUAAGUAUUCCACCUGGGGAGUACGCCGGCAACGGUGAAACUCAAAGGAAUUGACGGGGGCCCGCACAAGCGGAGGAACAUGUGGUUUAAUUCGAUGAUACGCGAAGAACCUUACCCGGGCUUGAAUUGUACCUGCAUAUAAUUGAAAGGUUAUAGUUGUCAAAGACAGGUAUGAAGGUGCUGCAUGGUUGUCGUCAGCUCGUGCCGUGAGGUGUCGGCUUAAGUGCCAUAACGAGCGCAACCCUGAUGGUCAGUUACCAGCAUGUAAUGGUGGGGACUCUGACCAGACUGCCGUCGUAAGAUGUGAGGAAGGUUGGGAUGACGUCAAAUCAGCACGGCCCUUACGUCCGGGGCUACACACGUGUUACAAUGGAUGGUACAGAGGGUCGCCACGUGGCAACACGGAGCUAAUCCCAAAAUCCAUUCUCAGUUCGGAUCGAAGUCUGCAACCCGACUUCGUGAAGCUGGAUUCGCUAGUAAUCGCACAUCAGCCACGGCGCGGUGAAUACGUUCCCGGGCCUUGUACACACCGCCCGUCAAGCCAUGGGAGUCGGGGGUACCUGAAGCACGUGUCCCUUCAAGGAGCGUUCCAGGGUAAAUCCGGUGACUGGGGCU